rnacentral:rRNA from 1 species
GACGAACGCUGGCGGCGUGCCUAAUACAUGCAAGUCGAACGCUGAAGAGAGGAGCUUGCUCUUCUUGGAUGAGUUGCGAACGGGUGAGUAACGCGUAGGUAACCUGCCUUGUAGCGGGGGAUAACUAUUGGAAACGAUAGCUAAUACCGCAUAACAAUGGAUGACACAUGUCAUUUAUUUGAAAGGGGCAAUUGCUCCACUACAAGAUGGACCUGCGUUGUAUUAGCUAGUAGGUGAGGUAAUGGCUCACCUAGGCGACGAUACAUAGCCGACCUGAGAGGGUGAUCGGCCACACUGGGACUGAGACACGGCCCAGACUCCUACGGGAGGCAGCAGUAGGGAAUCUUCGGCAAGGGGGGCAACCCUGACCGAGCAACGCCGCGUGAGUGAAGAAGGUUGUCGGAUCGUAAAGCUCUGUUGUAAGUCAAGAACGGGUGUGAGAGUGGAAAGUUCACACUGUGACGGUAGCUUACCAGAAAGGGACGGCUAACUACGUG